rnacentral:rRNA from 1 species
UACGGAGGGUGCGAGCGUUGUCCGGAAUCAUUGGGCGUAAAGGGCGCGUAGGUGGCGGGACAAGCGUGCGGUGAAAGCCUGGGGCUCAACCCCGGGUCGGCCGUGCGAACUGUUUUGCUUGAGCACUGUAGAGGCAGGCGGAAUUCCGGGUGUAGCGGUGGAAUGCGUAGAGAUCCGGAAGAACACCGGUGGCGAAGGCGGCCUGCUGGCUCGCAACUGACGCUGAGGCGCGAAAGCGUGGGGAGCAAACAGG